CGACGGAGGCUGCGGAGGUGACGACGGAGGCGGCGGAGGCUGCGAAGUUGACGACGGAGGUGACGACGGAGGUGAUGACAGAGGCGGCGGAGGCGACGACGGAGGCGGUGGUGAAGAGUCAGAUUGUCCCCUUGGACUAAGAGAAAAUCAAGAAAUGAAGAUGCCUGUAGAGCCCACCAGCUCCUCAGGGAAAAGAAAAAGUAUGGAAUUGACCCAGGGUGAGGCCAAGAGUUACAAAGGGGGAAACAAACUGUGUGCGACCCAGAGUGUGGCAUCCAGCUCCAAAGAAUUCAAAUCAAGAAGAUGUGUGAAAAGGCCAUGUAGCAAGACUGAAGUUGGUGCUGUCAUGAAACAUUUUAAGACACACAUUUCAAAGGGACACUUGGCAACUAAGUUAGAGUGUGAGCGGUGUAAGGUUUCUGAGCACCCUGUUUUGAGCGACAGAUCUCAAAAUAUAAGAGACUUUGUUAGGAACAGGGGCCUUAUGUUUAAAAGAAAGUUCUAACUUGUUUUAUUUUUUUACAUAUGUUUCAAAGGUUCCUCAGAGCAUUAUUACGUGUUUGUGUUAGUUCAUGUUAGUUCAUAGUUCAUAGUUCAGGGCUAUUUAACCUCCUUAACAAGUGGGCCGAAAAGGAAAACCACUGGGGGUUCAUGGGCCACACAGAGUAGAACGAUGUCAAUGAAUCGCUGCAAAUAAAUCGUACUUAAAGUAGUGUUAACUUAAUGUAUAUAGUACUACUACAUGGAAUAAACUUG